UACCGCUCACACACAGGGCUACUUCAGAAAGCAGGCAAAGUUCGCCUUCAAGUAAGGCGAUUGCCUAAGAGACACCAUGUAAUCACCUAAUCCACACAGGUUAGAUUCUGACAGAACCAGAAGCAUGCUACUGCAACAUUUUGCUUUGUUCCCGAUAUGCCUUCAUAUCAUGACCCUAAAACCAAUCCGCCUCUAAUCUGGGAGAAAAUGCAUGUAUAUAUUAAUUCACAACGAUAGAUGACAUCUUCAUGUAUUCAGUCUAUGUGAAUAGUGAACGUCAUUUAUCAAAAUUACGACCAUAAAUAAGUGACUCAUUUCGGCCAGUGGUGCUUUUGUCGUAACGAUCUAAAUGAAAGACGACUAGCAGAAAAUGAAACUGUAUGCAAUAGUUCAACUCUGUCCUUUGCAUUUUUUUUCAUCUCUGUCUUUCAAACUUUACUGUCCUCUUUCAUAACACUUAAUAUAAAAAAUCGGUUAAUAAAACUUUGUUUAGGAAUGUUAGCAUGGGCUACGUGGGGUGUACAAAAAAUACAAAUCAGGCUGAAGAGAGUAAAAAACAAUAACGGCUUCUUUUUGGGCCAAGUUCCUUUUAUUAAAUGUUUUCAGUUUUCGAGUGGACAAGCCUGUACUUAUAACGGCAAAGCUGUCAACAAUUUAGUACGUCCGUAUCUGUCCCAGAAGGAUUGCCUUCCCGGGCCUAGUCGAAUACUCAGAAAGCACACUUAGAUGGGUCCCAUAUGGGCGUGAUCUGGGCAUGGGUUGGCCCAGAUAUAUCCCAUGUGGAACCCACGUGGAUAGAAUACGGUGAAAUUCCAGUUAUUUUCCCAUUAAAGUCCCAUAUGGGUUCCUUAUGGGUAACAUUUUCCCAGGUUCAACCCAUAUAGGGCCCACAUGGGUAAACCCAUUUAAUUCCCACGUAAUUGUGUCUAUAUGGGGCCCAUAUACGACCCAUACCGGUAUACUAAAAUUAUAUGAAAGCAUAUUUAAAUUCUAAAUAACAACUAUUGCAAAAAAUUAAAUAUCAAUCGGAGGAAAGAAUUAUUUGGAAUGAAUGAAUGAUUAUGGCUUAACGCCACACUGGCAAUAUUUCAGCCAUAUCGUGGCGACAUCAAGGAAAAAAAUAUAUGUGGACCUAUAGCCUACACAAGCUAUACAAUUAAGAGAUGAAAAAUUAAACAAAUUUACCCAUUAAGAGCUAAAGAAAAUUUAUCAUAUAAUACAUUUCAUAAAUUCAUUAUGCAUAUAUAGUUAUUGUUUAUUUAGAUUAAGUGUGAUUUAUCAGAAACCCCCAAAAAUGCUAUUUAAAUUCAACAGGAAAGAUUCAACAGGCAUUAUAUCUAUGUUUAUGGUAGAUCAAUGAAAUCAGAUAAUGGGUUUAAGACAUGUAUAUAAGACACCAGUAUAGUCUGUUUUCUGUGGGAGGCAUUUUUUCAUUUGUGGUCGAGUGUGGAACUUUCAGGCCAGGAAAGUGGACUGAGUUUUGUGCUGUUAGCAGUUUGUGGUGCAGCUGACAUUAUAGGUGAGUAACACGCUGUAAAUGGAUUCAAUUAAAGUCUAAUAAAAUUCACCAACCAAAUCAGAAGAUGCUUUUAUUAGGGCCGAUUAUUUUAACAAGACACAGCUAUUAUUAGGUUAUUAUAUAUACUAUCCAAAUUACUUUGGAACCUUAACUUUAAUAAUAUUUUGACCUGGAAACAAAUUCUGAGGUGUAACAUUAAGAGACACAUGAAUCACCCCCCACCCCCUCGGCCACCUCUUCCCCCAGUGUACCCUCCUAUGACGCCCAGUUUAACUCUCUGUAUCUUUCUCUUUUUUCCCACUGGACUCAGAACUGUUAGCCUCUGAGGGAAAGCUGUGAGACACUUUUACAAGUUAUAAUAUUUUAAAUAAACAGGGUCGAGUGCUGCUUCACUGAGACGUCUUACCGGAAGGAAGUAAAGCUCCCCGCCCGAGCCAUAAAACUGAUACGGGUCAACCAGUCGUGGCAAUAUCCCCUUCAUGCUGAACGCCAAAAUAUGUCAAGCUAGAAGUGCUUGGAAGAAAAACUUGAACUGAGUUAUUUCAAACAUUGUGAGAAUGCUGAUGUCAUUGACCAUUCAAAAAUUUGUUCGGGGACAAACGGAAAAGACGGAGGCUCUUGGCACGCUGAAGCUUUGCAAAGAAAUAUUGAAGUGGUCCAGUGGAAUGUUGAUUUGUGUUGAAUUCCCUGACGAUGACUGAUAUAGGGAGGAUGUAAGAUCUCGUUAGCUACCUUUGCUAGGCCAGCGAGGCUUACAGACCUUUCGAUGGAGGAUCCCUUAACGUGUGUGACAGCAAAUAAAGCUUCUACGGAUUCAUAUCUUAACUGAAUUGACUUGAAACUUUUAUUUCAAGCAACACAACGCUUUCCAAUUGAGCAUUUUGCUCAAGAUUUCCUGACGGAGUGCCACUAUAACAGUAGAUGUAUAUAGAGCUAAUUUCUGUAUGGUAAACAGAAAUUUAAGAAACCCAUGUAUAUACAUACUUGUAUAUGAUGUGUAUGUAGUAUGUAAUUUGAUUAGCUUAAUAAACAAAUAAGCUAACACUCAUAACCUGUUUUGUGAUUCUAGUUACGUUUUAAAAAUCCCCUAAGCUUUUCUCAAGUUUACAACAUGAUGAACUUCAGUGACAAGAGCUUACCAAAGGAAAAUCACCAUAGCCGAAUUUUGAAUAU